rnacentral:rRNA from 1 species
AACGAACGCUGGCGGCAGGCCUAACACAUGCAAGUCGAGCGAACCCUUCGGGGUCAGCGGCGGACGGGUGAGUAACGCGUGGGAAUAUGCCCUUCUCUACGGAAUAGUCUCGGGAAACUGGGGGUAAUACCGUAUACGCCCUUUGGGGGAAAGAUUUAUCGGAGAAGGAUUAGCCCGCGUUGGAUUAGGUAGUUGGUGGGGUAAUGGCCUACCAAGCCUACGAUCCAUAGCUGGUUUGAGAGGAUGAUCGGCCACACUGGGACGAAGACACGGCCCAGACUCCAACGGGAGGCAGCAGUGGGGAAUUUUAUACAAUGGGGGCAACCCUGAUCUAGCCAUGCCGCGUGAGUGAUAAAGGCCCUAGGGUUGUAAAGCUCUUUCAGCUGGGAAGAUAAUGACGGUACCAGCAGAAGAAGCCCCGGCUAACUCCGUGCCAGCCGCCGCAGUAA